rnacentral:rRNA from 1 species
CCAGAAUUAUUACGCUUGUCUCUCGAUUAAGCCAUGCAUGCUUUCCAUAUAAAGAAAAGGCAGUGUUGCGACUGCUAAAUCUGCGAAAAGCUCCGUAUACCUGUGUUAACCUUCCUGGUAUGUGUUCCUGGGUUAUCUUGCUCCUUCGGGGGUGGGAUCGAUCCAGGAUCAAUUUCUUAUAAUGCCCAUCAAAAGGCCUGUAGGAUUCAGUCGGAAGACUAAACGGAUAUCCGAUGGUAAUUCUACGGCCAAUACGUGAACCACGUUCUGAGGGAGUUUUGUCCUUACCUAGGCAAUUAUGGGGGUGGGAUUGUUUCUUCUUUUUUCUCUCCUGGAAGCCUUUCGGGGUUGAAAGGGGGAUUAUUGAGGUUAAGCAGCUUAUCUCUCGCUUGGGUAUGGGGCAAACUUGCUUCGUGAUGGGGGUAGAAAACACAAAAUCCAGGCAUCCCAGAGCUUGUAAGCCUCUCGAGGCCUUUUCAAGCCUGGAAAGUCGUGAAUUGAACCCCAUGACAGACCGCUGCUGUAAACAGGCGGCGGCAAGCUGGAAGGGAUUCAGUCCUAUCAACUAGUAAGCAGGGUAUUGUCCUGCUUAGGUUAUAACGGGUACAGAGGAUUCUGGUCUGAUCCUGGAGAGGGAGCCUUAAAAACAGCUCCCAGUUCUAAGGAAGGCAGCAGGCGCGAAACGUUCCCAAUGACUAACGGUUGAGGACGUUAGGAGACAUACCAAUGCCGGCUUCAUAUAAAAUGUCGGUAAUUGGAAUGAGGGUAUAUUAGACCCUGCAAACUACAAACGAUUAGUGGGAAAGUCUGGUGCCAGCAACCGCGGUAACUCCAGCACUAAUAGCGUAUUUUUAAAUUGUUGCAGUUAAAACGCUCGUAGCCGCAAAUCAGACUGCAGAGGUUAAGCGUGGAAUGUGGCUCCUUGACAACUCGGUCGUUGGGAUUUUGUGCUAUCCUGUCUGCGAGCUCUUCCCUUGCUGGAUUUUUGAAGGCUCGGGUUCUUGUGGAAAUAUAAAGGGAUGGUGCAUACUAUGGUUCCUUCAGCUGGGGAGGUUGUCCGUCCUCGCGCGCUCACGGUUGUCCCGAAUAUGGCCAGGCCAACAGUGCCUUUGCGCCUAGGGGCAUAUUGUCAGCGGCUUUUGCAGUACUGAUACCUGCCUUUCCUUCCCCUAUCCCUUCUCUCCUCCGGGUUACGAAGGUUUAGGGUUCAAAUCUGGCUGCCUUUGAGUAGGUGUCCGGAGAGGAAGGGCGUCAUACCUUGAGCAAAUUAGAGUGCUCUAGGCAGGUCAUGGGGGGGUAACCUUCCGGACGAUGAACAAUCCAGCAUGGGAUAUAUUUCCUUUUCAUGGUACCUUGACCUCGGCGAUGCCUGCUGGGAUCGAGGGACCUACUGCUGUUUAGGGGUUGCAGGGGGUAGCCAGACCAUGAGGCGAGGGGUGAAAUCCGUUGACCCUCGUGGGCUGAACUAAAGCGAAAGCAGCUUACCCAUAAUACUCCCGUUGGUCAAGAGCGAAAGUGGAGGGAUCGAAAAUGAUUAGAUACCGUUGUAGUCUCCACUGUAAAAUAUGCCGACCCCAGAUAGGGUCACGUCCCUUUCUGGACUCUCCCUGGAUGCCGGAGAAAUUAGAGCUGGCUCUGGGGGGAGUAUGGUCUCAAGGCUGAAACUUAAAGGAAUUGACGGAACAACACACCAGUAGUGGAAUCUGCGGCUUAAUUUGACUCAACACGGGGAAACUCACAGGGGUAAUAUAGGGUUAUGAAAGACAGCUUAAAGAGCUUUCUCGAGUACCCUAAGUGGUGGUGCAUGGCCGUUCUUAGUUCGUGGAUUGAUCUGUCUGGUUAAUUCCGCUAACGGACGAGACGACUGUUACCAUGUUUCCCAGGGUGUUGAAGCCUUUCCGUGAAUGUCGCCUUGUUCAGGUAAGUUAGUCUUAACGCUUCUAUCGUCGGCGAUGCCUUUGUCUUGAGGGGGUUUCGGCCUCUUUGAGCUGGUUGGUUCGUGGUUUAAGCUUAGGUACGGUCCCUGAUCAGCGAUGGUUUGGAUUUUCAUCAUUUCCCUGUUGGUACAUGGUAGCAUGGCUCUUUCAAAGGGUCCUAAAGUCGCAAUAACAGGUCAGUGAUGCCCCUUGAUACCUUUGGCUGCACGCGCGUUACAAUGGGUGGAAGGAACGGGUUUUCUCCUUGACCGAAAGGUUCGUGGGAAUCCUGGCAAAUCCGUCCAUAUUUGGGAUUGAGUGCUUUAGCGGUGCUCAUGAACAAGGAAUUACUAGUAGGAGCUGGUCAUCAACCAGCGCCGACUUCGUCCCUGUUGUUUGUACACACCGCCCGUCGCUCCUACCGAUUGAGCGAUCUGGUGAAGACUUCGGAACCCUAAACCAGUUCUGAGUUUUUUUCUCAGUAAAUCUUUUCGAGGGAUACACUGACAAAAAACCUUGAAUUUACCUUGAUUCAAGGGGGAUUAACCCACGCUUUCUUGUUUAUGUGAUCGGUUAGAGGUUGUAUCCCUUUCCCUGAGACCUCGAGGCUAGGCAAGUUCGAGGCAGCCCAUAUAGGGAUUCUUAAGACCCUGACCGGUUCAUGAACAGGACAAGCAAUGGUUAUCUGCCAUGCUCUUAAGGUUGAUUUGGUUUUCUUCGGUCAUUCUCUCGAAAAGCUGCCUUGAUCCAAGGGUGAUUAACCUGUAAUACCUUUUUUGUUGGGGUCAUCAACUAAGAGGUUGUGAUAGGUUGUUCAUCUUUGUUUUGAGACAUCCCCUUGACUCAGGGAAAUUAUCCUAACUACCACAUAACGAUCAUCGGUCAAAUGAUCUCUUCUAGUGAGUGCAGGAAAAUUUCCCUUGUUUAAAUAUCCCUUGACUCAGGAAAUAUCUACUACACAUAUCGAUCAUCGGUCAAUGAUCUCUGUGAGUGAGCACAGGAAAUUUCCCUUG